rnacentral:rRNA from 1 species
CCCUUAGAUGUUCUGGGCCGCACGCGUGCUACACUGAGUGGAUCAGCGGGUCAGGUUGCGCGAAAGCGUUUCCUAAUCUUUAAAUCCGCUCGUGAUGGGGAUUGACGGUUGCAAUUUUCUGUCAUGAACGAGGAAUACCUUGUAAGCGCGGGUCAUCAUCCCGCGCUGAAUACGUCCCUGCCCUUUGUACACACCGCCCGUCGCUCCUACCGAUUGAGUGGUCCGGUGAGGCUUUGGGAUCUGAGCGGAAAGAGCGUUUCGCUGUUUCUGCUCGGAAAACUCAGUCGAACCUUAUCAUUUAGAGGAAGGAGAGGUCGUAACA